GCCGACGUAGCUCAAGUGGUAGAGCAAGCGACUUGUAAUCGCUAGGUUGCGGGUUCGAUUCCCUCCGUCGGCUCCA
rnacentral:tRNA from 1 species